CAGUUGCCAUUACAGUGGUCCUUCACUCCUCCUGGCAUGCCAUUUCUACAUGUCAGGAGGACUGAAGGACCACAUUAAUGGCAGUCG
ensembl:miRNA aca-mir-5440 aca-mir-5440